rnacentral:tRNA from 1 species
GGCCUCGUUGGCGCAAUUGGUAGCGCGUCUGACUCCAGAUCAGAAGGUUAGGUGUUCAAAUCACUUCGGGGUCA